rnacentral:lncRNA from 1 species
GUCAAGUUUGGACUUUGCUAAAAAAAAUUAUAGGAGUGAAUUUGGAAUUGAAUCUGGAUUCUCCAGAUGGAAAGUUGACUAUGUUAUCACAUAUCCAUCUGGCCAAGAGAUCAUUUUUAACCAAUUGGUUAUAACUGUUAUGGAAGAUAUGCAGAAUGAAGCAUGAAUGUUGGUACUUUCUCUUGCAUAUUUUCUCUAAGUACAUUGAAUGUCUUCUAUAUCUCUCAAUCUUCUCUCUACAUAUCUUUCAGAAACUAGUUGUUAAUCAUCGUUAUCUCACUUUAUAUUAUUGUAUAUUAGUCACUAAAACUACUCAAAUGAACAAAAAUAUUAUUCACUAUGCUUUUAGCAGUCAAAUACUUUGAUUUUACAUUACAUUGUUGCUAUACCAUAACCCUGAUUGAUGAUGUAACACUCACUAUAACAAUCACUAUGAAACUGGUAUAUAUUGUAUACUUUAUUUGUCUCUUAAUCAUAUAGUCCUACCAUUGCUAACCACUUGCACUCAUGACUCAAUUAAGUGGACCUCGGACCUCAUCAUCUCAUAAAAUGUCUCUUGAUCUCCCUGUACCUGCAUUUGUCCAUUCUGACAUUUCCCUAGUCUGUCCUUUAUCAUUUGUUGACAGUCAGCAUUUCUGAUCAUCUUACAGAUGUCAUGAUUGAGUCUAAUUGCAAAUAAAAUGAAUAUUCUAGAAUUUCUAUGCAAAACUUAAGCUUAUUGAGAACUUUGAAUUGUUAUAUAAAUUUCAAAGUAAUAUAUUAGUAAAUAUUUUUGUUCUUGUCUUUGAUAUGAAUUAACCAUGCAGUUUUUAUUUUGAUUAUUCAAACUUUAAUUAGUAUAGAUAAAUGCUUUUUUCAUGCUAUUUACAUUACAAAAUAAUAACUUAUAAUAAAUAUUAACAUAAUGUUUGAAAAAUUUUAUUUCAAACAUUUAUAUUAUUCAACAUUUCCAAAAAUAUUAGAAAAAAAGAGAGAACCUUGAUUCUCAGGAACCAGGUCAUAUUUUUUACAUGAUAUUAUGUUCAGUAUUUGCAAAUUUAAAAUUCACAGUAUUUUAUAAAAAUAUAAUCUUGUAAAUAUAGAGGAUUUAUUAUAGUUGACCAAAAAUAAUUUUACUGUUUACUAUAUUUGCAUAAAUACAAAAUCUGUUUUUGUAUCUAUGUUAAAAGAAGACCAAGUUUUAUAUUUACC